AUAUAGCCCUGAUGGGAGCGGCACCUUGUAUAGCGUACAGCAGGAAAAUGA
rnacentral:sRNA from 1 species